CUGUUCGAGCGUCAUUAUGACCAAUCAAGCUCUGCUUAGGAUUGGGGUCUGCCAUUAGGCAGCCCUUAAACGCAGUGGCGGCACCCCGUAGCUCUUAGCGUAGUAAUACUUCUCGCUACAGAGUCCGCGUGGAUGCUCGCCAGCAACCCCCAACUCUCAGGGUUGACCUCGGAUCAGGUAGGGAUACCCGCUGAACUUAA
rnacentral:misc_RNA from 1 species